UACGUAGGGGGCAAGCGUUGUCCGGAAUCAUUGGGCGUAAAGAGCGUGUAGGCGGCCCGAUAAGUCCGCUGUGAAAGUCCAGGGCUCAACCCUGGGAUGCCGGUGGAUACUGUCGGGCUCGAGUCCGGAAGAGGAGUGUGGAAUUCCUGGUGUAGCGGUGAAAUGCGUAGAGAUCGGGAGGAAUACCGGUGGCGAAAGCGACUCUCUGGACGGCAACUGACGCUGAGGCACGAAAGCGUGGGGAGCAAACAGG
rnacentral:rRNA from 1 species